GAGGCUACAGUGAAAGACCUCGAAAAAUUUAUUGCUACCUAGAUAAAGGAUAUGAACAACGUGCAACACAUAACACUCCACGCAAAGGUCAAAUCAACAACAAAAAAUAGGUGAGUUGUCUGAAAGACGAUAACAGAGCUUAAAUAACACCAGUGGCAAAGGAAAAAAGAAAAUGGGUAAAUUGCAUUAAAAACAAGUAGGAUGUCACGG